rnacentral:rRNA from 1 species
GAUGAACGCUGGCGGCGUGCUUAACACAUGCAAGUCGAACGGAAAGGCCCAAGCUUGCUUGGGUCCUCGAGUGGCGAACGGGUGAGUAACACGUGGGUGAUCUGCCCUGCACUUCGGGAUAAGCCUGGGAAACUGGGUCUAAUACCGGAUAGGACGAUGGUUUGGAUGCCAUUGUGGAAAGUUUUUUCGGUGUGGGAUGAGCUCGCGGCCUAUCAGCUUGUUGGUGGGGUAAUGGCCUACCAAGGCGUCGACGGGUAGCCGGCCUGAGAGGGUGUACGGCCACAUUGGGACUGAGAUACGGCCCAGACUCCUACGGGAGGCAGAAGUGGGGAAUAUUGCACAAUGGGCGCAAGCCUGAUGCAGCGACGCCGCGUGGGGGAUGACGGCCUUCGGGUUGUAAACUCCUUUCGCUAGGGACGAAGCGUUUUUGUGACGGUACCUGGAGAAGAAGCACCGGCUAACUACGUG